AUAAGUUGAGGGAAAUUCC
rnacentral:misc_RNA from 1 species